AGAAAAACAUCACACCGAGAAGUCCCGAGCCUUCUCCUCCUCCUCUUUCCCCUUCUCCACGCUUCGCCACUGGCGGAAUAUUUAAACCUCCGUCUGACCAGCUCGCUCGUCGGCUUCCGCCUCUCCGGCAACAGCGAACGGUUCUCUUAACGCGCGACCGAGACCUGACCAGACCACCCACUCGGCUCCGCCAGCUUUCCAGCCCCGGGGGUUCUCCGAUGGCCUCCCACAUCAUUCUCCCCAAGGAGGAGGAGGAGGAGGGGCUGGCCGUGGCGGUGGAGGCGGACCACGACUCGCCGGAGCCGCCGCGGUACCGGCACUUGCAGCCGGCCCAAAAGGCGCUCCCGUUCUCGGCCACCUGCGUGCGGAUCUCCCGCGACUCCUACCCCAACCUCCGCGCCCUCCGCAACGCCUCCGCCACGAGCCUCCGCGACGACGACGCCGCCUUCGCCAAGCUCGACGCGGGCGACUACGGCUACGUCCUCGACGACGUCCAGCACCUCACGGACUACCUCCCUGAACUCCCCACUUUUCCUAAUCCAUUGCAAGAUCACCCUGCCUAUUCAACUGUCAAGCAAUAUUUUGUCAACGCAGAUGAUACAGUACCUGAAAAGGUGGUUGUUCAGAAGAACAGCCCACGUGGAGUUCACUUCCGCCGUGCCGGGCCUCGUCAGAGGGUCUACUUCGAGCCAGAAGAUGUGAAAGCAUGCAUUGUGACGUGUGGUGGCCUUUGCCCUGGGCUCAAUACUGUCAUUAGAGAGUUGGUGUGUGGCUUAUCCCACAUGUACAAUGUCAACAAUGUCUUCGGAAUACAGAAUGGAUACAAGGGCUUCUAUUCAAGCAAUUAUCUUCCCAUGACACCCAAAAGUGUCAAUGAUAUCCACAAAAGGGGCGGUACAGUUCUUGGAAGUUCGCGUGGUGGUCAUGAUACGCAUAAGAUUGUCGACAACAUUCAAGAUCGUGGAAUUAAUCAGGUUUACAUUAUUGGAGGAGACGGAACUCAGAAGGGAGCAUACGAGAUAUUCAAGGAAAUUCGAAGACGUGGUCUAAAAGUCGCUGUUGCUGGUAUCCCCAAGACCAUUGAUAAUGAUAUAGCGGUUAUAGACAAGUCCUUUGGUUUUGACACUGCCGUAGAAGAGGCCCAACGUGCCAUUGAUGCCGCUCAUGUGGAAGCUUCAAGUGCUGAGAAUGGAAUAGGCUUGGUGAAACUGAUGGGUCGCUAUAGUGGGUUUAUUGCAAUGUAUGCUACGCUGGCAAGCAGAGAUGUGGACUGCUGCUUGAUUCCUGAAUCUCCAUUUUAUUUGGAGGGGAAGGGUGGACUUUUCGAGUAUAUAGAAAGGAGGCUGAAGGAGAACAACCAUAUGGUCAUUGUAGUGGCUGAGGGAGCAGGACAGGAUCUUAUCGCCAAAAGUAUACCUGUAGCAGAUCAGCUAGAUGCAUCUGGAAAUAAGCUGCUUCUUGAUGUUGGUCUCUGGUUGACUCACAAGAUUAAGGAUUAUUGCAAGAGCAAAAAGAUGGAGAUGACCAUUAAAUACAUAGAUCCAACCUACAUGAUCCGAGCCAUUCCAAGCAAUGCUUCGGAUAAUGUCUACUGCACGCUGCUGGCACACAGUGCCAUACAUGGUGCAAUGGCAGGAUAUAGCUUCACAGUGGGAAUGGUCCACGGCAGGCAUGCAUACAUACCAUUUCAUAGAGUAACAUCGACAUGGAACAAGGUGAAGAUCACGGACAGAAUGUGGGCAAGGCUGCUGUCUUCAACAAACCAGCCGAGCUUCCUGAGCGAGGAGGAUAUCAUCGAGGCAAGAGAGGCCGAAAGGUUGGCCAAUAGGCUAUCUCUAUCUGUUCCUGCGGGCAGCAGCGAGCACGGGGAGCAUGCGAAGAAGUACUCUGGGUCGGUAUUAGCAAAUGCGGGUCCGUAUGAUUCAGUUGUCGAUGGUUUAUCCUGUUUGACACCUUUACGUUUUGCAUGAAGGCUCCGGCGAUGCGCAAGGAGCACCCACGUUGACGUUGUCACCGCCGCACCAACCUCAGCCUGCCGCAGCCAUUACGGUUGCCGCACCGUCGUCGUCCGCGGCAGCUGCCACGGACAGCGUGACGGUAAUCGACUCCGAUGAGGACGACAGCGACGCAACCGGGCCUCGGGAAGAGGAGCUGGAACGAGAGACCGGAGCAUGGCAAGAGGCCGAGGAAGCUGACCGGAAACGGGAGGAGAGGCCUAUGCAGCCGGAGACGCCGGAGCGUAUGGCACCGCCGCCGGGAACCGCGUUGCACGCGGGUGCUGACGGUGACGGGACGGCGGCCGAGGACGUGGACGCGUUCAAGCCCGACGACGGCUGCACCACGACCCCGCCACCGCAGCAGGACGACCGCGUGGCGGCGAGCACGGGCGGCGAGCGGGCGGGCGUGGCCGCCGGCAGGUCGAGGCUGCUCGCGUUCCGGUCGUUCGCGCGGGGCAAGAAGGGCAGCAAGUCAGGGGAACACCUGCCGGCGCACGGUAAGGCGUGGGAGGAGGCCGGUGCGGACGACAAGGACAAGGGCCAGGCGAGGUGGACAAGGUUUUGGAAGUGAACGUGCCGUGCUGUCUGCCGUCGUGCCGUACGUGCGGCGAGUCGGAGUCAGCGUCGCGCGUCGCGGUGCGUUCAACCGUUGGGUGCGUUUUCAUUGGUUUAUAAUAAACCCAUGUUGUAAGAGCAUCUCCAAUAACACGUGUAUAUUUAAAUGUUUAUAUGUUUAUAUAGAUAGUGAUUUUUUUUUUCA